GACGAACGCUGACGGCGUGCUUAACACAUGCAAGUCGAACGGAAAGGCCCUGCUUGCAGGGUACUCGAGUGGCGAACGGGUGAGUAACACGUGGGUGAUCUGCCCUGCACUUCGGGAUAAGCCUGGGAAACUGGGUCUAAUACCGGAUAGGAGCCAUUUUUAGUGUGAUGGUUGGAAAGUUUUUUCGGUGUAGGAUGAGCUCGCGGCCUAUCAGCUUGUUGGUGGGGUAAUGGCCUACCAAGGCGGCGACGGGUAGCCGGCCUGAGAGGGUGGACGGCCACAUUGGGACUGAGAUACGGCCCAGACUCCUACGGGAGGCAGCAGUGGGGAAUAUUGCACAAUGGGCGCAAGCCUGAUGCAGCGACGCCGCGUGGGGGAUGACGGCCUUCGGGUUGUAAACUCCUUUCGCCAGGGACGAAGCUUUCUGUGACGGUACCUAGAUAAGAAGCACCGGCUAACUACGUGCCAGCAGCCGCAGUAA
rnacentral:rRNA from 1 species